GGUUCAGUCGUGCAAUCCAAUGGUUCAAAACUUCGUCCAUGGGAUAUAUAAUUAUUAUUUCAUCAAUGCCAUAAAAAAUAGAUGAAUAUCUGUACCUCACGCUCGUGAGAUUUUAGUUCAAUGCAUCUGUCUCGUACACUGACAGACGGAGAUGGCAAUCGCAUGGGUUAAUUGAAUGGUAGUGGGUCGGGGAAGGUGAGCGGGAGUUGCACGGCCAUCGCAUGGCCAACUCAACUCAUCCUAUUUCUUUGUUUGUUUUUUCGAAUUGGAAAUGUGUGUUCGACCAAAAUAAAUAAUAAAUAAUAAAUAAACAAAUGGAAAUGCGUGGGAUAUUGUAAAUAAUAAUGAUCUCCUUCCUUUUUUGAAAUGGUGGGUAGGGUACGGUUUAGGGUUGGUUUGUAUAAUAGGAGGCGAGAGAGAGCAUGGCCCAACCCACCGACACUUAAUUUUUUGCCUCCAUUAUCUCCCAACCGUCUGUUCUCCCCUUCCUCUUCAUUAUCUUUCCUCAGCUGGAACCCUCACGAUCUCUCUCCCUCCUCUCCUCCCCUCCAUUGCCUCUCUUUUGCUCUCCCUGUACCUUCACGAAGCACCCACCCUUCACCAACCACCAGAACCCUCUCGAUUAUCUCCUCCCUUUGCUCUCCUUCGCUCUCCCAACCAAGCCUCGAUUAUAUCUCCCAACCGUCUGUUCUCCCCUACCUCUCCAUAUAUUUCCUCUGCCAGAACCCUCACGAUCUCUCUCCCUCCUCUCUUCUCCCUUUCCUUUCUUUUGAUCUCCCUUGUAUCUCCUUUGCUAUCCGUUGUCUCUUCACAAUCUGUCCAUAUCUUUGCUGUUUGCGCUCAUUAUCUCCCCAAAUGCUUCUGUUGAUUCUCCGGAGGAGGAGGAGGCCCAGAGCUUGGAUCUGACGAUUGCCCUCUUUUUCAGAGAGGUGGCGACGGUAAAUUUUUUUUGCCGAUUUUGUGGGAUGUGCUGGCCAGAUCUGGCCGCACGGAAUAAUCACGAAGUUGAACAUUUCAGCGAUAAGUUCGAUGUUUCUUGCUUCCUUAUUUCUGAUAAUUGCCUCAACCUGUCCCUCAAUGAUCGGAACAAUAUAUCAUGUAAGAAGGAUUUGCUUUCUUGGAUUGAAAGUGUCCCAGAUGGAUUUGUUCUAGCUGACUUGGCUGAUGUGAGUUGAUACAUUCGAAAGAAAUCGUUGUACUACAUUCUAAUGUAGUUGGGGGAAGUGGUCUACGCAAUCAAGCAGCUGGAGUUUGAUGAUGAGCUGAAGAGUCUAUUAAAGCAAUUUGAUGUGCGCAACAUAGAUGCUGUUAACAAAUGUCUAAGAAUGCACGGAAGCAAGAUAAGGACGGGUUCUUCAAAGAGGCCUGCUGACGCUCCUGAAUCCAGGAAGCUAAACAAGAGGUUGAAGGGGGUUAGGUUGUUUUCCUAGUUUCUCUCAUGAUUACUAUAUUUCAGUAAUUUCCUAAAUGUAGAAAAAUCAUCUUGCAUUUGUCAUCUCUUUCUGCUUGCAAGUCAUUGCAGAAAGCUGAGAGCGUGAAUAGAUGUACAUAGGAUGUUUUUUAAGUUUUCCUUAACUUAAUCGAAGAUUGUUGCAGCCUUGAAAGCUGAGAGCGUGAAUAGAUGUACAGAGGAUGUUUUUUAAGUUUUCUUUAACUUAAUCGAAGAUUGUUGCAGACUUGAAGGUCAUUGCAGAAUGCUGAGAGCGUGAAUGGAUGUACUGAUGCAUGUUUUUGAACUUGUGAACUUAUCUGUGAACUUUUGAACUUGAGGACCUAUUGGAUCUAGUUUUAGAGAGAUUAGAAUC